CAUAACUCCGGAAAAUGGGUAUAAUACCCGAUAGGUCUCGAUUGCUGGAAUGCAUCGAGAUUUAAAGCUCCGGCGCCUAAGGAUGGGUCUGCGGCCUAUCAGGUAGUAGUGGGUGUAGCGUACCUACUAGCCUACGACGGGUACGGGUUGUGAGAGCAAGAGCCCGGAGAUGGAUUCUGAGACACGAAUCCAGGCCCUACGGGGUGCAGCAGGCGCGAAAACUUUACAAUGCUGGCAACAGCGAUAAGGGAACCUCGAGUGCCAGGUUACAAAUCUGGCUGUCGAGAUGCCUAAAAAGCAUUUCAUAGCAAGGGCCGGGCAAGACCGGUGCCAGCCGCCCCGGUAACACCGGCGGCUCGAGUGAUAACCGUUAUUAUUAUUGUCUAAAAGGGCUGUCGUCCCCCCCGGAUAAGUGUCUCGCGAGAAAUCUGGCUUAUUUGUGUCGGGCUUCGAGAUACUACUGUGGGGGCUCGAUGCCGGUUUAGGUGAGAGACUACUUCAGGGGUGGGCGGUGAGAUCAUGUAAUCCGUGGAUGGACCACAGGUGGAGAAAGUCUCUCAAUAUAAAAGCAGUUGAGCGCAUGGGACUUAUGCUCUGGGCACGAAAGGGCAUUUAGAUGCGGAGAAUCCUCCCAGCCGUGGAGCCUCCUCGGGAAUUAGAAGACUACGCUCCUACCGCUGAAGUUCCUCUAAGCUAUCGGGGUAUCGAGCCAACUUGGUACCUCCGGCACGCCUGGCUAAUAUGCAGGCAAAUUGCGGCAGAGAUCUCAACCACGCCGGAAACACUCGCCUUUAAAACGAAAUAAAAGAGGGUAAAUUCUCACGCGGCGCGGAGAUCAAUAGGAGGCCGGGACUGAGUAUCUCGCCGGUAUUAUGAAAAGAGGUGCUUU
rnacentral:rRNA from 1 species